CAGUCGCACGAUGAGGCCCUUCGGGGUACAUCAGUGGCGGACGGGUGAGUAACACGUAGGAAACAUGCCCUUUACUGGGGGAUAACACCGGGAAACCGGUGCUAAUACCGCAUAAGAUAAUGGCUGAAAUGCCAUUAUUUAAAACUCCGGUGGUAAAGGAUUGGCCUGCGUCGGAUUAGCUUGUUGGUGAGGUAAUGGCUCACCAAGGCGACGAUCCGUAGUUGGUCUGAGAGGAUGACCAGCCACAGUGGAACUGAGACACGGUCCACACUCCUGCGGGAGGCAGCAGUAAGGAAUAUUGCGCAAUGGGCGAAAGCCUGACGCAGCAACGCCGUGUGGAGGAUGAAGGUUUUUGGAUUGUAAACUCCUGUCAGUAGGGACGAAAUUUGACGGUACCUACAGAGGAAGCACCGGCUAACUACGUGCCAGCAGCCGCGGUAAGACGUAGGGUGCAAGCGUUGUCCGGAUUUAUUGGGCGUAAAGCGUCCGUAGGCGGUAAAGUAAGUCUAGUGUUAAAGUUCAGCGCUCAACGCUGUCUCGGCACUGGAAACUACUUUACUAGAGUGCGGUAGAGGCAAAGGGAAUUCCUGGUGUAGCGGUGAAAUGCGUAGAUAUCAGGAGGAACGCCAGUGGCGAAAGCGCUUUGCUGGGCCGUUACUGACGCUAAGGGACGAAAGCCAGGGUAACGAAAGGGAUUAGAUACCCCUGUAGUCCUGGCCGUAAACGAUGGAUACUAGGUGUUGGAGGUAUCGACCCCCUCAGUGCCGUAGCUAACGCGAUAAGUAUCCCGCCUGGGGAGUACGACCGCAAGGUUGAAACUCAAAGGAAUUGACGGGGACCCGCACAAGCGGUGGAACAUGUGGUUUAAUUCGAUGCAACGCGA
rnacentral:rRNA from 1 species